rnacentral:rRNA from 1 species
CCUACGAGAGGCAGCAGUGAGGACUAUUGGUCAAUGGGCGCGAGCCUGAACCAGCCAAGUAGCGUGAAGGAUGACUGCCCUACGGGUUGUAAACUUCUUUUAUAAAGGAAUAAAGUGAGGCACGUGUGCCUUUUUGUAUGUACUUUAUGAUUAAGGAUCGGCUAACUCCGUGCCAGCAGCCGCGGUAAUACGGAGGAUCCGAGCGUUAUACGGAUUUAUUGGGGUUAAAGGGAGCGUAGAUGGGUUGUUAAGUCAGUUGUGAAAGUUUGCGGCUCAACCAUAAAAUUGCAAUUGAUACUGGCAGUCUUGAGUACAGUUGAGGUAGGCGGAAUUCGUGGUGUAGCGGUGAAAUGCUUAGAUAUCACGAAGAACUCCGAUUGCGAAGGCAGCUUACUAAACUGCCACUGACAUUGAUGCUCGAAAGUGUGGGUAUCAAACAGGAUUAGAUACCCCUGUAGUC